rnacentral:rRNA from 1 species
CAGCCGCGGUAAUACGUAGGGGGCAAGCGUUAUCCGGAAUCACUGGGCGUAAAGGGUCCACAGGUGUCCCGUUAAGUUAGAUGUUAAAUCGCAAGGCUCAACCUUGCGGCUGCAUCUAAUACUGACAGGAUAGAGGAUAGGUGACGGAGGUGGAAUUCCUGGUGGAGAGGUAAAAUCCGUAGAUAUCAGGAGGAACACCCGUGGCGUAGGCGGCUUCCGAACCUAUUCCUGACACUCAGGGACGAAAGCUAGGGGAGCAAACAGGAUUAGAUACCCUGGUAGUCCUAGCUGUAAACGAUGAAUACUAGAUAGUGGGUGCUACACCGUACUCACCGUCGUAGCUAACGCGUUAAGUAUUUCGCCUGGGAACUACGAUCGCAAGUUUGAAACUCAAAGGAAUUGACGGGUCCCCGCACAAGCAGCGAGGCAUGUGGCUUAAUUCGAUGCAACACGAAGAACCUUACCUGGACUUGACAUGUUUCUGAAAGGCCGGAGAAACCCGGUCCCUUCCAGUUUACUGGAACAGUUUCACAGGUGGUGCAUGGUUGUCGUCAGCUCGUGUCGUGAGAUGUAAGGUUAAGUCCUUAAACGAGCGUAACCUUUGUUAUUAGUUGCCACCGGUUCGGCCGAGCACUCUAAUGAGACCGCUAGCGACAAGCUAGAGGAAGAUGGAGAUGACGUCAAAUCCUCACGUCCCUUAUGUCCAGGGCCGCACACAUGCGACAAUGGUAGAGACAGCGGGUUGCGACGGGGUAACCCUGAGCUAAUCCAUAAACUCUGCCUCAGUACAGAUCGAGGGCUGAAAUUCGACCUCGUGAAGAUGGAGUUGCUAGUAAACGCAGGUCAGCUAUACUGCGUUGAAUACGUUCCCGGGGAUUGCACACACCGCC